UACGUAGGUGGCAAGCGUUGUCCGGAAUUAUUGGGCGUAAAGCGCGCGCAGGCGGUUCUUUAAGUCUGAUGUGAAAGCCCACGGCUCAACCGUGGAGGGUCAUUGGAAACUGGGGGACUUGAGUGCAGAAGAGGAAAGCGGAAUUCCACGUGUAGCGGUGAAAUGCGUAGAGAUGUGGAGGAACACCAGUGGCGAAGGCGGCUUUCUGGUCUGUAACUGACGCUGAGGCGCGAAAGCGUGGGGAGCAAACAGG
rnacentral:rRNA from 1 species